rnacentral:rRNA from 1 species
GACGAACGCUGGCGGCGUGCUUAACACAUGCAAGUCGAACGGAAAGUCGCUGCGUUUGUGGGGUGCUCGAGUGGCGAAUGGAGGACUAACACGUGAGUAAGCGACCCUAGAUUUUGGGAAAACCUCAUGAAACUGGUUAUGAUACCGGAUCGGCGCUGCUUCUUCAUGGCUGUGUUUGGUAAGUUUCGGCUGUUGGGGCUGUACUCGCGGCUUAUAGGUAUGUUGGCGGGGAAGUGGCGUACCAAAGCCGUGACGGGUAGCCGGCCUGAGACGGUGGCCGGCCAAAUUGGGACUGGGGUACGGCCCAGACUCCUACGGGGGGGAGCAGUGGGGGAUAAUGGAAAAUGGGAGGAAGACUGAUGCAGAAACGUCGCGUGCGGGAUGAGGACCUUCGGGUUGUAAAAAGUUUUCGCCUGUGACGAGGCGUGAGUGACGGUAAUGGGUGAAGAAGCACCGGCUAAAUACGUG